rnacentral:sRNA from 1 species
GAGAUAGAGUCUCGCUGUGUCACCCAGGCUGGAGUGCAGUGGUGCGAUCCGGCUCACUGCAACCUCCGCCUCCCAGGUUCAAGCGAUUCUCCUGCCUCAGCCUCCUGAGUAGCUGGGAUUACAGGUUUUUUUUUUGAGGAUAGAAAUGAGAAAAUACAUCUGAAAUGUAAAAUCAGAAAAACAACCUAUCUAAAUGUCUUGGAAGUACUGCAUUGAAAAAAUCUCCAGAUUAAAAAUAUAGGAAGGCACUGGAGGAGUUUGCAGAAAUGAAAGAAAGAGAAGAGAAGAAGGCUAACCUCGAAAGGGAAGAGAAGAAAAGAGAUUACCAAGCCCGAAAGAUGCAUUACCUCCUCAGCACAAAGCAGAUUCCAGGAAUAUACAAUUCACCCUUCAGAAAAGAGCCUGAUCCAUGGGAGCUGCAAUUACAAAAGGCAAAGCCUUUAACACACCGAAGACCUAAAGUUAAGCAGAAGGACUCCACCAGCCUUACUGAUUGGCUAGCUUGUACAAGCACCCGUUCUUUUCCUCGGUCUGAAAUUCUACCACCUAUUAAUAGAAAGCAAUGUCAGGGGCCCUUCCGAGAUAUCACCGAAGUAUUAGAACAACGCUACAGGCCUUUGGAGCCAACGUUGCGGGUGGCAGAACCAAUCGAUGAGUUAAAGUUGGCCAGAGAGGAGCUCAGAAGAGAGGAAUGGCUGCAAAAUGUAAAUGACAAUAUGUUUUUGCCAUUUUCUUCAUACCAUAAGAAUGAAAAGUACAUCCCAUCAAU